rnacentral:rRNA from 1 species
UACAGAGGUCCCGAGCGUUGUUCGGAUUCAUUGGGCGUAAAGGGUGCGUAGGCGGCGCGGUAAGUCGGAUGUGAAAUCUCGGAGCUUAACUUCGAAACUGCAUUCGAUACUGCCGUGCUUGAGGACUGGAGAGGAGACUGGAAUUUACGGUGUAGCGGUGAAAUGCGUAGAUAUCGUAAGGAAGACCAGUGGCGAAGGCGGGGUCUCU